rnacentral:lncRNA from 1 species
UCUCCAGUAUUUCCGAACACAUCCAAGGGAUGAAGAAAACAAAGAUUGAUAAAACAUUAAAAGAAUAAUUGCGACCAUAAACGUGCAGGUAAUUUACAAGAUUAAAAUUAAUUUGGUUGCUGGUGGUUCCGAACAAAUAUGUACAGCUCUUUUAUCCCAGGUACAUCUUUUUGAAGACUGAGAAAUUAGAGUUUUAUCCCUGAGGAUAAAGAAAGUGUUUUGGAAAGUAUUUUAUAUCGCAAAAGUGCAAAUCCUCAUACUGAUAAUCUGAAGGGCCUGUACAGUGUAGCAGACCUUGGAAACAAACCCAGUCAGCUUGAAGAGUCUCAAAAGGACCCUACCAGUGAGAAAUCAAGAUGGCAGUCCACUAUGGGGAAUUGAGGAAAAUGGAUUAAUACAAGAGUGCUGUGAUAAAAUACCACCAAGACAGGGUUCUUUUAACAUGGAUUCAGUGAAAUGAAUGAAACCUAUCUUAACCAACAAAUGGACAGUGGAUUUGACUUUGUAAAGACUUGUAUCAUUUAAACUAGUUUAUUUUUGACAUUUGGAGAAGAUGGCACGUUAACACAGAUGGUAGCGUGGAUACCUGAAUUUUUUUUUUGCAUAUUUUGAUUUGUUUGAAUAUGACCUCAUGGAAUGUUAACUUUAAUAAAAUUUCUAACAUUUAAAAAAAUUUCAGUUUGGGCCUUGUUCUUUUUCAAGUGGAAGUUUCAUUAAAUAUUCAAUUAUCACCUUAAUAACAAUUUGGUUCUUACAGUUGCCCAGCAGUAUAUUCAGUAAAACUGGUAACAUGGAAAUGAUGUGGUGGAAUAUGUUUUACUUGCUUGAUAAAGAUUUGUAUUUUCUCACAAAGCUAUGGGAAUUUAUCUGUGCUUUGGCAUGGCUAUUAGUUAAAACAUGAUUUUUUUCAGGUUUGUUUGAAGUUUUGAAUGCAU